rnacentral:rRNA from 1 species
GUGGGGAAUAUUGGACAAUGGGCGAAAGCCUGAUCCAGCCAUGCCGCGUGUGUGAAGAAGGUCUUCGGAUUGUAAAGCACUUUAAGUUGGGAGGAAGGGUAGUAACCUAAUACGUUGCUACUUUGACGUUACCGACAGAAUAAGCACCGGCUAACUUCGUGCCAGCAGCCGCGUUAAUACGAAGGGUGCAAGCGUUAAUCGGAAUUACUGGGCGUAAAGCGCGCGUAGGUGGUGCAGUAAGUUGGAAGUGAAAUCCCCGGGCUCAACCUGGGAACUGCUGUCAAAACUGCUGAGCUAGAGUACGGUAGAGGGUGGUGGAAUUUCCUGUGUAGCGGUGAAAUGCGUAGAUAUAGGCAGGAACACCAGUGGCGAAGGCGACCACCGGGACUGAUACUGACACUGAGGUGCGAAAGCGUGGGGAGCAAACAGGAUUAGAAACCCCUGUAGUCC